rnacentral:misc_RNA from 1 species
GUAACAAGGUUUCCGUAGGUGAACCUGCGGAAGGAUCAUUAUUGAAUCUAUACCUUUUUGAAAGGGGGUCUGCUCACUGGCCUGCGCUUAAUUGCGCGGCUUUGUGGCCGGACUGGUUUUCGGACCAACUCUUUCGAAAAAACAUACACACAGUGGAGUUUUUCUUCAACUUGCUUCUUUGGGGAGACUUUGUGCUUCCCAGAGGUAACAAACACAAACAAUAGUGAAAUCAGUGAGUCUAAACCUAUGAAAUUCAGAAAUAUUUAAAACUUUCAACAACGGAUCUCUUGGUUCUCGCAUCGAUGAAGAACGCAGCGAAAUGCGAUACGUAAUGUGAAUUGCAGAAUUCCGUGAAUCAUCGAAUCUUUGAACGCACAUUGCGCCUUUUGGUAUUCCAGGAGGCAUGCCUGUUUGAGCGUCAUUUCCUUCUCAAACACCUAGUGUUUGGUAGUGAGUGAUACUCUUCACAGAGUUAACUUGAAAUUGUGGGCCUAAGGGCCGCGCAGCCAAAGCCAGGGAAGUUCAUUCUCUGUCUAGGGCCGUUAAUUGUCGAUUUAGGUUGUACCAACUUCGGCAAGGCACUGACAGAAAUUAGCAUUCUGAGCUGGAGCGCGAGUCCAGGCAAACAAACGUCUCAAAGUUUGACCUCAAAUCAGGUAGGACUACCCGCUGAACUUAAGCAUAUC